rnacentral:lncRNA from 1 species
CCCCAACAAUCAAAUGAUCUUGAAAUAUCUCAUGGUCGAAUUCUACGAGUCACUUGACCUUCACUACUCAAUCUCGAUUCACUGGUUAGUCAAUCACAAUUUGCAAAAGGGUUUUAUCCUAAUAUGUAGAAUGAAACAGAAUCACAAACUAAGAGAAACAACAAAUAUAAAAUGCAAAUAGAUCACUUGAAGGCUACGGAUAAAAUUAAGAUGAGAACGACUAUGGGGAAACUGCAUUGCUUGGUUUUUGGAUCAUUCUAAGGACUAUAAAAAACUCUACAGCAGCCGAAUAGACAGGAACUAGGCUUGGCAUCCGGGUCUGGCGGGUCCAGAUUAUGGAUUCCGUUCCCCGCCCGAUUCUCCAUCCGGGUUUCAAAAUACCCGAGCCCGGAGCCCAAACGGGGCUUAAAUGAAACCAGGCCCUGAUCCGCCGGAUCUCCGGGUAUACGAGUAAAGCCCGUGCAGUAUAAAAAAACCCAAAACUGCAUAAAUUGCUUGAACAUUGAAUAUAAACUAUGUGAUUAAAUUUCAAUGUUAACUAUGAAAACUUAGCAAUCCAUUAUCCUUCAAAUCAACAUAACCAAAACAAGGAAAUUAACAUAAACUUAGCAAUGACUUUCAUAAACAACAACAAUAAUUCAAUAAUGAGCUCAUCAACAACAGCAAUCCAGCAGCAGCAGUGCAACAAUAAUAGUGGCAGUCCAGCAAUAGUGCCAGUCCAGCAACAGCAGUUUCAGUUAAUUAAACCAUGAAAUAUUUACCUUCUUGAUUGACGAAUGCAGUAACAAACACAAAUGGCCCGAAAGACCAAAAACGAGGAACCUGCAUGUACGAUUCACAAACUGUGAAUGUUUUUUAUUUCAACGAUAUUGAUUGACGGAGAUUAUAAAAUCGGCAAAUUUAAAGGCUUCCUUCAACACUAACCUAAUGAUAGAUGAAAAGAUGGAGAUGAGAACUUGAAUCCACCUUAAGAUGUGUCUCCCCUUUUAUAGUCAAUCACUGAUAUGAAGAAGUUGUGAAUUGAAAGCUGGAAAUCGGAAUUGAAGCCAAAUUCAUGGAGCAAGCCUUUGAGAUUGGAAUCGUUGAUUGAAGGGAAUUAAUUAAGCCAUGGAAGAGUGGAAUUGACGGGGUUUAGAUGGGGAAGAAUGAAAUCACCGUUGAAGAGCUUUUAUGAGAUAGGUAUGAGAAUGGUAACG